AGGAGAGAUGAGUCAUCAUCUGGAGCUCUUGAGGUCAUGGGAGGAUUCCAGAUACCCUUCUCCAGUACACACUCAAAACAUCCCAAGAGAAGAGGUAAAACCAUCCAAUGCAUAAUGUGCCAACAUCCGAUUCCAUAAUCCUUCAGGAAUUUUGAAGACAAAGAAGGCAAGGAAGGGAUGAUUACCUGAGCUGAGCUAUAAUAUUUAGGAAACCAAUGCACUUCUCAGACUAGAGACUUGGCUUCCCAGAAUGGAGCUUUGAAGAAAGAAGGAAGCCUGAAGAAUAAACAGUAAUUGCAG